rnacentral:lncRNA from 1 species
GUCAAAAGAAACAGGGCAGGUCAACCUGUAUGUUGUCUCCUCAGGAGAGCAAAGACCAUUGCUCUGCAGUCAGCCUCCACAUAAUCCCUGAGGGUGGAUCCAUCUCUUCUGCCAUAGGCGUUCAAGAUUGCUGGACUGAAAAACAACAAUAAUAAAAAAUCCACACUUGAUCCAUAAGUCAAGGACCCUGGUCCUGUUCUAUUGUCAACUAAAUGGAGCAGAAAAUAUCAAUGGAGAAGCAAUGUCCAAUCUUCAAGGAACCCUUUGUUUCAUCAAAUGGACUACUGGAUGACAAGUGAGGAAAACAGGAAGUGCCAAGCAUUAUUGGAACAAUCAAAUUGCACCUAGUUUCUGCGUGGCAGUGUCCUCUGCCUGGAGGAAAUGAGGCAGCCUUUCCAUGGUCCCCAUAAACAACUGGGAAACAAAUGAUCUGCUGAAAUUGCUCAUCAGUUAAUAGCACUUGCUGCUCUUGUAUGUUCUGUUCCCAGCGGCCACCCAUAUGGUGCCUUACAAACACCUGUAAUGCCAGAUCCAGAGGAUUUAUUGGAUGCAUCCUUCUGACUUCUGUGGACACUGCACACAUAUGGUGCCUACAAACUCAUGAAGGUGCAAACACAUAAAUAAACAAGAAAAUGAAGAGAUGUUUAAAACAAAUAUUGUGAUGCCAUAAAUGCACAGUUGAAGUAUUUCUUGGAAUCAAUUUUUCUUCUAGAAAAAUCAAGAACAUAUAAAAACAUGUGAUAAAGCUUUUAUAUUUGAUACAUCUUCCUAUGGAAAUAUUAGUGAUUAUUGGAUAUGCUCAUAUACUUUUUACUUACCUGUAUAUUAUUACUACAGUUCUAACAUUUAUUUUAAAAAUCACAGGACAGUUUCUAUUCAAAAGGUGAAAAUGGCCAGAUAUUAUCACUUUUAAUGUUCAAAAGUUACAUAAGUUCCUUUUUCUCUGUUUGAAUGUGCCAACUGUGAAACAUUUCUUAAGUUCUCUGACAUUUCCAUGAAUGCUCAUGACUUUAAAGAGUAUGUGGACACAAGAAAUAGUGUUACUGCCAUUAGCAGAUUUACAGGUAUGUAAUCAAAACACAAGACAGCUUUCUAGAUGUGUAAAGGUAGAAGCAAAAAGAAAGGUGUGUCUACACUUACUAUCCCUUUUCCAGACUCAGCCAUUCAGAGCCAGCCUCUUCCUUUAGAUUCCUAGACUUAGGAUGCAUUGUGAAUUAGUACUCAGUAAACAAUGAAGAAUACACCACAGACAGUACCCAGCAGGAGAAUGUGAGUGAAAAGUACAGUUGAGAGGGCUGUGUAUAAAGCUGUCAGCCCAGAGUCACUGGGGGGUUAGGGUAUGAAUAGCAGUGUAUGAUGCAAAAAGGGCAUUUUCUGAUGUGGUUUAUAAUAUAUUGUCCAGAGUAGGAGGCAGGGAUGUAGAUUCACUUCUGCAGAAGAGAAUUUUUAAUAUGUUUUUAAUACUAUUAUUGUGUCACUCUUCAUACAUUUGUACAAUGGAGUUUGACUGUAUACAUCAACUGCUGCCUCCAUCUAACUAUGCCCAAUGCCCUGAAGUCCAACUCUGUGUUCUAUUUUUAUUAUAGCCCAUUUGUUAAUGGGUGUGUUGAUGUUUUUUUUUUUCACAUAGCCAACAUAGCAGUAGUCACAGUCACAAAAGAAAGUGACUGGGAGCAGAGUUGAUUUUCAUGAUGCAACUAACAAAUACACAUUUAUUUUUCAAUGGUCUCUAAAACUUCUGAGGAUAUUAAAUGUUUAUAUAUGAAAUAUUUCACUCUCCAUCACCCUUCCAGAGAGUGCUAAUUACACUGAAGCACAAUCCAUGGAAGCAGUUUCAAUAAGGUGACUUUGGCUAAAGAAAGCUAAAGCAAUUUUUGGAGAAUGGGAAAGUGAUGAGUAAGAUGACUGUUAUAGGAGAAAAUUAAAUUCUAGAGAAAGGAAGACUUGUCUGGUAGGAAAACUAAGAAAUAUAUGGAUAGAAUAUAAAGAAAGACAAAUGUGCCAACAAUACAGAGUAGAAAAAUCUAUAAGAAUGAAGAAACUGAGAAAUGAAAACAAACAAACUAUUUGUAUGUUGUCCCAGAGACUGUCCAGGCAUGAGCUUAAUACAAGCUUUCAAAACAACAGUAUUACUUGAAAGUGUGAAGUUGUGAAGGCAGGGUUUAAAUGAGACCAACAGACCCAAGAUAGAUGAUAAAUAGGAGUUUAUUAGGCAAACACUUAAAAAGCUAAGAGUAAAUAACUGCCUGAGGGCUUCUUGCUCCAGAAGAUGCAGGCUCUGCCCUUCUGAUGAGAGCAUGAGCCAUUCCCUCCUCAACCUUAUAAUGGGUCAAGUCUGCACCUGAAACCAAGCCUGAAGUGUGUGGGCACCACUACAAGUUCACUGGCAAGUCAAGAUGCCAUUACAAAGAUGACUAUCUUAUUAAGAGAUCUUUGAAGUAAAAAACAAAAUACAAAGUUUGUGUGAAAUAUUGCAGGUUUUUUCCAUCAUCUACAGAAAAUCAGUAUGAAUGUCAUUCGUAGCCACAUCAAAUCAGGAGGUAUUAUUUCCCCUUAAGCCAUUUGCAGGCCAGGUUCAACCCUGGGUCUAUCUUUUUUUUUAAUGUGAGGAAACUGAAUAUUUUCACAGGAUUCUUUACACACAGCUCAUAUCCUACUAUUAAUACUACUAGUAUUAAAUUUGUAUGUUUAAUCCAACAGGCUCACAUGUGGAAAGCCUAGCAUCCAACUGAUAGAGAUAUUUGAGGGCUGUUGGAUCACAAAGAUACUAGUAUAAUCAUGUUUACAAUACCAAUAUCUUAGUGAAUUUGUAAUUGAGUGAAAUAUAAGAAAGACUUGUGGAGGUGGAGUAGGGGUUAUUGAGUGCAUGCCUUUUAGUCCUGUGGUGUUUCCACUUCUUAGUCCUUGUCUCUCUGUAUGUCUGUCUUUCUCUUUCUAUUUGCCACUCCCUCUCUUGUUCCCUUCUCAUUACUGACUGUUGUUGGUUACUCAUCAUUGAUCCACAACUUUCUUCUGCCAAGUUGUUUGUUUGUUACAAGAGAAUUGAAAGAAAUUCAGAGAAGCAAUCUGUCUCAAAAUCUGAAUCUGGUGACAUUGGGUGUAUUCAGAAUGGUGGAUCCAUAGACAUCGUGGCAUACUUUUAAUCUCAAUACCCAGGGCACUGAGACAGAUCUCUCAUCCUCAAGACCAGCUUAGUCUAAAGAAUGAGUUCCAGGACACCCAGGGCUGCACAGAGAAACCCUGUCUCAUAUAUCACCAGUAGCACAGACACUGAGAGCAACAAUUAAUAAAUAGAACCUCCUGAAACUGAGAAGCUUUUUUAAGGUAAAGGAUAUGAUCAGUAAGACAAAAUGGCAGCCUACAGAAUUGGAUCUUCACCAUUCGCACAUAUGACAGAGGGCUGAUCUCCAAAAUACAUAAAGAACUCAAGAAAAUAGACAGCAAAAUACUAAAUAUUCCAAUUUAAAAAUGGGGUGCAUAUCUAAACAGAAAAUUAUCAAAAGAAAAAACUCAAAUGACUGAAAUUGUAAGUAAUUAUUCAACAUCCUUAACCAUCAGUGAAAUGUAAAUCAAAACAACACUGAAAUGCCACCUUACACUUAUCAGAAUGGCUAAGAUCAAAAACACUGAUGGCAGCUCAUGCUGGAGAGCAUAUGGUAUAAGGGAACACUUCUCAAUUGCUGGUGGGAGUGCAGACUUGUACAACCACUUUGGAAAUCAGUAUGGCACUUUCUCAGAAAACUGGGUAUCAAUCUACCUCAUGCCCAGCAAUACCACUCUUGGGCAUAAACCCACAGGAUGCACAAUCAUACCCCAAUGACAUUUGUUCAACAUAUGUUUGUAGCAGUAUUAUUUUUAACAGCCAGAACUUGGAAACAACCUAGAUGCCCAUGAACCAAAGAAUGGAAAAACUAAAUAUGGUACAUUUACACAAUGGAGUAUUAGUCAGUGGUUAAAAAAAAAUGACAUCUUGCAAUUUUCAGGCAAAUGAAUGGAACUAGAAAAAGACAUCCUGAAUGAAGUAACCCAAUCUCAUAAAUAAAAACAUGGUAUGCAUUCAAUCAUAAGUGGAUAUUAGAUAUAAAACAAAGGAUAACAAGGCUAUAAUUCACAACCCCAGAGAAACUAGGUAAAAAGGGAAACCAUAAGAGGAACCUACAUGAAAGGUCCCAAGAAAGGAAAAAUACUUAAGUUCUCCUGGGAAAACUUGGAGAUUGAGUAGAAGGAGAGGAUGGGGGAUGGGAAUAUGAUAGAUCAAGAAGACCAAGUUUGAGUACAUUGUCUAUGGAAGGAUUGGAAGGAUACCUUGCUCAACCUACACAUGAUGGGGGUCACCUUGUUCCUGCCUCAAGGAGGUGAUGGGACAGACUAGGUUGACUAUGGACUGACAGCUGGAGUAACUGCAUGUGACUGAACUAGACCCUCUGAAUGUAGGUGACAGUUGUGUGAUGUCAUCUGUUAUGGAGAGCCCUGUCACUGGAAUCUGGACAUAUCUUUGGUACAUAGACAGGUAUUUUAGAGCCUACUUCCUAGUGUGGGAUUCCUUGCUCAUCAUUGAUACAGGGGGAGGGCCUUGAUCCUGCCUCCACCUGGUAUGCCAGACUUCAUUGACUUCCCAAAGAAAUAAAUUUUUUAGAUGGAAAAGAACAACAUAAAUUAACAAAAGAUUCUUGAUCUGUGAGACCAAAUAAACCAUUCUUCUUUUAAACUGAUAUUUCUCCAGUAGUAAUUCACAUUAACAUAUAGUUGUUUAACACAAAUUAUAUAUAUGUAUAUAUAUUUACAUAUGUGUGAAUGUAUAUGUGUAUAUGUGAAUAUGCA